AUUAGUGGCAGACGGGUGAGUAAUGCAUAGGAAUCUACCUAGUAGUAUGGGAUAGCCACUAGAAAUGGUGGGUAAUACUGUAUAAUCCCUGCGGGGGAAAGAUUUAUCGCUAUUAGAUGAGCCUAUGUUAGAUUAGCUAGUUGGUAGGGUAAAGGCCUACCAAGGCAGUGAUCUAUAGCUGGUCUGAGAGGAUGAUCAGCCACACUGGAACUGAGAUACGGUCCAGACUCCUACGGGAGGCAGCAGUGGGGAAUAUUGGACAAUGGGCGCAAGCCUGAUCCAGCUAUGCCGCGUGAGUGA
rnacentral:rRNA from 1 species